AAAGCGCAUGUGCUGUGAGCUCGAUGAGUAGGGCGGGACACGUGGUAUCCUGUCUGAAUAUGGGGGGACCAUCCUCCAAGGCUAAAUACUCCUGACUGACCGAUAGUGAACCAGUACCGUGAGGGAAAGGCGAAAAGAACCCCGGCGAGGGGAGUGAAAAAGAACCUGAAACCGUGUACGUACAAGCAGUGGGAGCACCCUUUGGGGUGUGACUGCGUACCUUUUGUAUAAUGGGUCAGCGACUUAUAUUCUGUAGCAAGGUUAACCGAAUAGGGGAGC
rnacentral:rRNA from 1 species